rnacentral:rRNA from 1 species
AUUGAACGCUGGCGGCAUGCUUUACACAUGCAAGUCGAACGGCAGCGCGGGCUUCGGCCUGGCGGCGAGUGGCGAACGGGUGAGUAAUGCAUCGGAACGUGCCCAGUAGUGGGGGAUAGCCCAGCGAAAGCCGGAUUAAUACCGCAUACGACCUGAGGGUGAAAGCGGGGGACCGAAAGGCCUCGCGCUAUUGGAGCGGCCGAUGUCGGAUUAGCUAGUUGGUGGGGUAAAGGCUUACCAAGGCGACGAUCCGUAGCUGGUCUGAGAGGACGACCAGCCACACUGGGACUGAGACACGGCCCAGACUCCUAAGGGAGGCAGCAGUGGGGAAUUUUGGACAAUGGGGGCAACCCUGAUCCAGCCAUGCCGCGUGCGGGAAGAAGGCCUUCGGGUUGUAAACCGCUUUUGUUCGGGAAGAAAUCCUCUGGGCUAAUACCCCGGGGGGAUGACGGUACCGGAAGAAUAAGCACCGGCUAACUACGUG